rnacentral:tRNA from 1 species
GUCGUAGUGGUUUAAUUAGUAGAACAACAGACUUUUAAUCUGUGGGUGUAAGAUGCAAGCUCUUGCCUACGACU